CAAAAUACAAAAAAUUUUCUCAUCACAAUAUCCACCCUCGCUGCUUCCACAGUUCUUGUUCAUAGCAUUUCCAAAACUUUCAUGCCUUACAGAAUCCGAAGAUUCAUCUUCCCCAAUCUCCAUAGCCUUUCCUGUCAUCCCUUCUCCUCUGAAUUAAACACUAUAGUUAUAGAAGAAUAUAAAGAGCAUCACAUUAACCAACUGUUUCAGGCUGUUAAUGCCUAUUUGACCUUCAUAGUGAACACAUCAAAUUGCAGAGAGAACCAAGCUGAGCAAGCCAUUGGUAAAGAUCAGGAAAUACCUGAUGUUUUUCAAAAUGUACAGGUAAGUUGG
rnacentral:misc_RNA from 1 species